GAAAAAUUCUCCUUUUUCUUUCAGACUGCGCUUUCUGAUGACGAAAAUUAGGGUGCAAUAAAGGCAGCUUGCAAUUGUGGUUCUUCCCAACAAGUAUGUACGAAAGGCAAACAAAGAUGGAGUGUCGAUAGCACUUAAAAUCGACGAACGGAUUAAAAGCUUGGUUACCUAACCUUGAAUAGAGCUCUGUUCAACGUCGUGUACCUGCAGACUAACCAAAAGAAAAAAAAAAACGCGGAAUUUAAUUAUGAUGCUUCGUCGUCCGUCUGUCUGUUCGAGGUUUCUUGUGUUAAAUGUCGAUUGGGAAUACCAAGCCACGCUGGGUUAGCAAUGGCGCAAAAUCAGCGGCUCCCUCGAUGGAUUGGAUGGGCGAUGGUGUGGCUUGUAGGCUCCAAUUCUCCAUGAAUUUUUAGGUUUAAGAUUUAUUUUCUUGGUUUAGAUUUUUAGUUAAUUGUUUUGGUUUUUCUUUUCAAUUUUGUUAAAUUGUUUCCAAAUUUUGUUUUAAUUUUAAGAAAAGUUCAAUUUGUCUUUUAAUUUUCAAUUUUUGUGAAAAUUAUUCGAUUUGUUAUAAG